UACAGAGGUCCCAAGCGUUGUUCGGAUUCACUGGGCGUAAAGGGUGCGUAGGCGGUGAGGUAAGUCGGAUGUGAAAUCUCCAAGCUCAACUUGGAAAUGGCAUUGGAAACUACCUCGCUAGAGGAUCGGAGGGGGGACUGGAAUACUUGGUGUAGCAGUGAAAUGCGUAGAUAUCAAGUGGAACACCAGUGGCGAAGGCGAGUCCCUGGACGAUUCCUGACGCUGAGGCACGAAAGCUAGGGGAGCAAACAGG
rnacentral:rRNA from 1 species